rnacentral:rRNA from 1 species
GACGAACGCUGGCGGCGUGCUUAACACAUGCAAGUCGAGCGGAGCGGCGAACGGGUGAGUAACGCGUGAGUAACUGCCCCCCUCUCUGGGAUAACAGUUGGAAACGGCUGCCAAUACCGGAUAGUGGGGGAUGACUCGCGUCCUAUCAGCUUGUUGGUGGGGUAGUGGCCUACCAAGGCGACGACGGGUAGCCGGCCUGAGAGGGCGACCGGCCACAUUGGGCUGAGGUACGGCCCAGACUGCUACGGGAGGCAACAGUGGGGAAGAUUGCGCAAUGGGGGAAACCCUGAUGCAGCAACGCCGGGUGCGGGAUGACGGGUUUCGGGUUGUAAACAGCAUGCGGCCAUGACGCGGUAGUGGAAGAAGAAGCACCGGCUAACUACGUGCCAGCAGCCGCGGUAAUAC